UACGUAGGAGGCGAGCGUUGUCCGGAUUUACUGGGCGUAAAGCGCGCGCAGGCGGCACGCUAAGUACUUUGUGAAAUCUCCCUGCUCAACGGGGAGGGAGCGGAGUAAACUGGCGAGCUAGAGGACGGUAGAGGGGGGUAGAACUGCUGGUGUAGCGGUGAAAUGCGUAGAGAUCAGCAAGAAUACCCGUGGCGAAGGCGGCAUCCUGGACCAAUUCUGACACUGAGGAGCGAAAGCCAGGGGAGCAAACGGG
rnacentral:rRNA from 1 species